ACUGAUGGGAGGGCUUCUCUGCCCUGAGUUCCUGGGAUCCUCGGAAUGACGCAGAACCCCCACUCUGACUCCGUGUAGGACCUGGGACCCUUCCUUCCUCUGACUGCAGGCUGCCCCUGCGAAUUAAAGCUGAAACCUGCCUGAGACCUGAUGGGAGAAAUGAUGGGAUGUCUCAGGCUGAUAUCCCUUUCUGGGCCUAUUAAGGAUCGACAGGAGAGGACAAGCCCUAUUGUUCCUGCUUCCCGCGGUCCUCACUCCGGGUCCUCCCUUGCCCCGCUUCUGGCCACUCACGCUAAUGGCAGCAGGUGCUGGAGACUCAUUAGGAGCCGGAAGGUCCUCACCCUGAGUCCCAGCACGACCUGGAAAUCCUCCCUCUGCUGACCGGCAGCCAGCCCCCAGACCUGGGCCCCUACCUCCCCGAGUUUCUGGAGCACAAAGUGAGGCAGUCUUUAGACCAGCCCGGACCCUCCCAGGCCAAGGCGGAGACUCCAUGUGGCCUCUGUUCUGGGGUAUGAAUUCCCCCCAAAGGCCGUCUCCUUCCCACCAGUAGGCCUGGGGGUCUCUGCCUGUGCUGAGCUGAGCCAGAGUCUGGCAGUCCCCGGCCAAGGCCUGCAAUCCCCAAGACCCCAUGAGGGCUCUGCACUACUGGAAAGGUGCCCUCUUCCACCCCAGGGAAAAGCAACCGCCCCGACUGCCUGACUAGACGCGGCGCCUGCUACGGGCCCCCUUCGUGGCAGCCCCCCUGGCCUGGGGUCUGGCCCCCACGCGCUCCUCCUCGUCUAGCAGAGCCUCCUCGUACAGCUGGGGCACGUUGAGGAACUCCCAGACCUCCUCCUCGCUGGCGCGGUUGCCCUUCAUGAAGAUCACGCCCAGGAGCGCCAUCAGGAG